rnacentral:rRNA from 1 species
AUUGAACGCUGGCGGCAUGCCUUACACAUGCAAGUCGAACGGCAGCGGACCUUCGGGUGCCGGCGAGUGGCGAACGGGUGAGUAAUAUAUCGGAACGUACCUUUCAGUGGGGGAUAACGUAGCGAAAGUUACGCUAAUACCGCAUAUUCUGUGAGCAGGAAAGCAGGGGAUCGCAAGACCUUGCGCUGAUUGAGCGGCCGAUAUCAGAUUAGCUAGUUGGUGAGGUAAAGGCUCACCAAGGCGACGAUCUGUAGCGGGUCUGAGAGGAUGAUCCGCCACACUGGAACUGAGACACGGUCCAGACUCCUACGGGAGGCAGCAGUGGGGAAUUUUGGACAAUGGGCGCAAGCCUGAUCCAGCCAUGCCGCGUGAGUGAAGAAGGCCUCGGUUGUAAGUACCGUCGUCGUAGGGGACGGAAGG